UGAGGAAUAUUCGUCAAUGGGGGAAACCCUGAACGAGCAACGCCGCGUGGAGGAUGAAGGCUUUCGGGUCGUAAACUCCUUUUCAGGGAGACGAGAAAGGACGGUAUCCCUGGAAUAAGUCACGGCUAACUACGUGCCAGCAGCCGCGGUAAUACGUAGGUGACGAGCGUUAUCCGGAUUUACUGGGCGUAAAGCGCUUGUAGGUGGUUUUGUAAGUUGGACGUUAAAUCUCCAGGCUCAACUUGGAGAGGCCGUUCAAUACUGCAAGACUAGAGGAUGUCAGAGGAAGGUGGAAUUCCAGGUGUAGUAGUGAAAUGCGUAGAUAUCUGGAGGAACACCCAUGGCGAAGGCAGCCUUCUGGGACAUUCCUGACACUGAGAAGCGAAAGCUAGGGGAGCAAACAGG
rnacentral:rRNA from 1 species